rnacentral:rRNA from 1 species
CGGACGGGUGAGUAAUGCUUGGGAAUCUAGCUUAUGGAGGGGGAUAACUACGGGAAACUGUAGCUAAUACCGCGUAAUAUCGAAAGAUUAAAGUGUGGGACCUUUCGGGCCACAUGCCAUAGGAUGAGCCCAAGUGGGAUUAGGUAGUUGGUGAGGUAAAGGCUCACCAAGCCGACGAUCUCUAGCUGGUCUGAGAGGAUGACCAGCCACACUGGGACUGAGACACGGCCCAG